UGGGAAAUUUGUAAUAUCAGUUU
rnacentral:snRNA from 1 species